UUUCAAAUUUGAGAUUUCUUUUCAACUGUUGCAGUCAGCUGUUUUAUUUUUCCGAUUUGUAAAAUCAGUUUUUUUCAGAACUAUAGUUCCUUCUGGAGAGUUUAAGUGUGCAUCGUUGAGUCUUUUAUUAUUGUGUGAUAAUGUCCGGACAAAGAGUACGUACAUGUUGCAUCCCAAAUUGCGAAGACACGACGUCUCGUAGACAUCGCUUUCCAAGCAAUAAGGAUUGUUAGAUAUUUGGAUUGCAAGAAUAAACAACCCAAAACAUGCUUCACUGACUUCUAGACAAACAGCAGUUAGCCAGUUUAUAUACGAGUCACAUUUUGCAGAAAUCAAUAUAAACAGACAAUCAACAAAAAGAAUUUUAAAUGGAUCUAUUCCGACAUUGAAUAUUCCAGGAUUUCAUGAGGAUCCAACGAGUGAAAACUGUUUUUAUUUUCCUGCAAAAUCAACAGAAGUGACUACAGAAGCAGUUCCAAGCCCUAUAUCUGCAGAAACGGAAAUGUUAGCUGUACCAGGAACAUCAAAAGAUAUAAGCCCUGAAGUGAAAUUAUUAAGGACGACUCCCUCAAAAAAAAAAGUUUAUGGGAAAACUGCAAGAAGGUAGUUAAUAGCAACAUCGGUAUCUCAUUUAGCAGGUAAUUUUAUGCUUCUGAAAAUAUUUAUCGUAAAAUUACGAGUAACCACUUUGAAAUUACUUGUGUAUUUAACUAAAUACUUAUAUGUAUAUGAUUGUUAAAUGGGAGCCUAUCUAAAAUUUCUCAAAAGCUAGAAAAAAUAGUUGUAAUUAGACUUAAUGAAAACAUACCCUGUUUUUGUUUGUAUUGCUCCAAUUAAGUUUUUACAAAUUUUGUAUACAUUAUUUUUUUAUAUAAU